rnacentral:rRNA from 1 species
CAGGCUGUUUGCUGGCCCUCCUACUCUUGGGGCAUGUGCACGUCUUGUCAUUUUUUGUUUUUCCAACUGUGUGCACACAUUGUAGACUCCUAGUUGAAUCAUGUAGAUUUGAUUGAGGAUUGCACUUUAUUGUGCUUUCCUUGCAAAAGGGAGUCUAUUCUUCACUACCUCUUUGUUUUGUUUUUGGGAAUGAUAAUAAUAAUAAAAUUUUAUACAACUUUCAGCAACGGAUCUCUUGGCUCUCGCAUCGAUGAAGAACGCAGCGAAAUGCGAUAAGUAAUGUGAAUUGCAGAAUUCAGUGAAUCAUCGAAUCUUUGAACGCAUCUUGCGCUCCUUGGUAUUCCGAGGAGCAUGCCUGUUUGAGUGUCAUUAAAGCUUAUCAAGACCAAUAUCAGUAAAAUGAUGUGGCCUUGGAUAAUGGAAGUUUUUUGCUGGCUUUGGAAAAAAAAGUCGGCUCUUCUGAAAUAUAUUAGUGGCAUCUGAGGGAGGCUACUUUUGGGCAUGAUAAAUUUGUCUAUGUCUUUUGUAGUUUCACAUAUGAGCUGCUGAAAAUUAUUUUUGUUUUUGACUUGACCUCAAAUCAGGUAGGACUACCCGCUGAACUUAAGCAUAUCAAUAAGCGGAGGAAAAGAAACUAACAAGGAUUCCCCUAGUAACUGCGAGUGAAGCGGGAAAAGCUCAAAUUUGAAAUCUGGCAGUUGUUGACUGUCCGAGUUGUAAUCUAGAGAAGUGUUACCUGUGCUGGACCAUGUACAAGUCUCCUGGAAUGGAGCAUCAUAGAGGGUGAGAAUCCCGUCUUUGACAUGGACUGCCUGUGCAUUUAUGGUGCGCUCUCAAAGAGUCGAGUUGUUUGGGAAUGCAGCUCAAAAUGGGUGGUAAAUGCCAUCUAAAGCUAAAUAUUGGCGAGAGACCGAUAGCGAACAAGUACCGUGAGGGAAAGAUGAAAAGAACUUUGGAAAGAGAGUUAAACAGUACGUGAAAUUGCUGAAAGGGAAACGCUUGAAGUCAGUCGCGUCGGCCAGAAAUCAGCCUUGCUUUUGCAUGGUGUACUUUCUGGUUUCUGAUGGGUCAGCAUCAAUUUUGAUCAUUGCAUAAAGUCUUUGGGAAUGUGGCAUCCUCGGAUGUGUUAUAGCCCAUUGUCGUAUAC